UACGUAGGGUGCAGGCGUUAAUCGGAAUUACUGGGCGUAAAGCGUGCGCAGGCGGUUUGCUAAGACAGGUGUGAAAUCCCCGGGCUUAACCUGGGAACUGCGCUUGUUACUGGCAGGCUUGAGUGUGGCAGGAGGGGGGGUGGAAUUCCACGUUGUAGCAGUGAAAUGCGUAGAGAUGUGGAGGAACACCGAUGGCGAAGGCAGCCCCCCUGGGCUAACACUGACGCUCAUGCACGAAAGCGUGGGGAGCAAACAGG
rnacentral:rRNA from 1 species